rnacentral:rRNA from 1 species
GACGAACGCUGGCGGCGUGCUUAACACAUGCAAGUCGAACGGAGAGGCCCUGCUUUUGUGGGGUGCUCGAGUGGCGAACGGGUGAGUAACACGUGAGUAACCUGCCCUUGACUUUGGGAUAACUUCAGGAAACUGGGGCUAAUACCGGAUAGGAGCUCCUGCUGCAUGGUGGGGGUUGGAAAGUUUCGGCGGUUGGGGAUGGACUCGCGGCUUAUCAGCUUGUUGGUGGGGUAGUGGCUUACCAAGGCUUUGACGGGCAGCCGGCCUGAGAGGGUGACCGGCCACAUUGGGACUGAGAUACGGCCCAGACUCCUACGGGAGGCAGCAGUGGGGAAUAUUGCACAAUGGGCGGAAGCCUGAUGCAGCAACGCCGCGUGCGGGAUGACGGCCUUCGGGUUGUAAACCGCUUUCGCCUGUGACGAAGCGUGAGUGACGGUAAUGGGUAAAGAAGCACCGGCUAACUACGUG